UUCUUUUCCCGCACCUUCAUUUCUAAUUCCUUAAAUCUAAACCCUAAUUCCCUCCCUCCCUCUCCGCUGCCUUCAUCAAAAUCUUCCCCUGCUACGUGUUCGUGGAGCAUCUCUCCCCGCUGUUUUCAUCAAAUUUUCUGCCAAACCCCUUCCCUACAUCGCAAUCUUUCCCCUCUGCUUCGUGUUCAUUUGUGCUUUGUGCCUUCCCCUGCUUGGGCUGAGCGUCGAGGUCGAUGCGGCAAGGUCGAUGCGGCGAGGUCGAUGCGGCAAGGUCCAUGCGGCAAGGUCGAGGCAGCGAGGACUCUGUUGAGGCGAUUUUUAUCACUCCCGUCUCCAACCCCUCAAACUCAAAUCCUCUUUGGUCUUGCACGCUGGUGGAAAAUUUGGUGGUGCCAACAGUGGGUACUCUGUCUCAGGAGGAAAUGAAAGCUUAGAGAGAAAGGGUACUUGUUUUCUAGGGCACUUUUGUGGUCAUCACAUGCAUGUCUGCUUUUCUUCUUCACUGUUCCUUUGAAGGUAAGAUGGGAAAAAAAUGGCGAAAAAUGUGUUCUGGGGGAGAUGGUCGCAACCCUAAUCAAUGUCACUUGAGAUACCAUUAACCUAUGUAACUCUGGCGUCUGCUGAUUGCACCACGUUGUUGAGUCCAAGCCAAACGUGUAAACUUUUACUUUUCCAGCAUCUCAUUUGGAUUUUACUCUUUCUCUUUCAAAAUCAAGAAUUAAUUUAAAUACACUUUAUAAGGCAUCUGGUGCACAAGUUUCGAAUGAUAAAAUGAUGCUUUAUUAUUUCCUAGGAUUUAGAUUUUCGCGAAUAUCAUAAAUAUUAUUAUAUACAUGAGGAGAAAAGAAAGAAAGAAACGUAACAAGUAUAGUUUUAAAAUAUUAUUAUAUACAUGAGGAAAAAUAUUAUUAUAUACAUAUUUUUGUUAAGAACUUUUUAUGCCUCCUUCAAUUCUACACAAUAUAUUUCAGGUGAGUAAAAUUAAAAUAUAUAAAAAUUUCAGUUUUAAAAGAUAGUUUCAGAUUUUAUCAUUUUUAAUCCGUCAAGCUCCUUCUACUAGCAUGUUUCCUUGAAGGCAAUUUCUUUUCUUAGUCCCGUAACUUCUUUCCACACCCCCACAUACUAUUUUUGGAAUUCUCCAAUUUACCUUGUGUUAUUUUAUAAGAGUCUUUGGCUGGAAUUCUUUCUGAACUGUAUACUUACUUUGGAAACCUUCAUUAAUUCUCUUGCAUGAGUUAUUCAAUGAGCAUGGCCGAAGAGGGAGAAAGAGAGAGUGGAAAAAGAUUAGGUAUUCGAAGAUAUGGUGAGAAGAAGAAUAGGAGGAAAUUAGUGUGAGAAGAUUGAAGAAACACAUCAAGAACAUGAUAAAGACAUUGAUAGUGGGAUAUAAUGCGUAUGCUGUUAAAAAGAAGAGGGCUUGGAGGUUGGUAUAUAGCGGUGUGGGCGAUGGGUUGCGUGGAGGAAUACAUAUGGUAAAAAGGUAUCUGAUAAAGGGAGUGGGCCAAACAAUGGAUGUAAUGAAGAAGAAAAUUAAAUAUUGUUAUUGAAUAUCUUUGAGUCAUACUUUUAGUAUUGAACAUUUGUAUUGAACAUCUAUAUUGAACAUAUGUAAUGAACCUCUUUCUUUUUAAUUUUUAUGUAUGAACAAUUAGUUGUAUGAAUGAUAUUAGGUUGAACAAUGUAGUUUAUUUUAUACAAUAUUAUUAAAUUUUAGUUCAUAUUAA